AACGAACGCUGGCGGCGUGCCUAACACAUGCAAGUCGAACGGAAUUGAGGGGCUUGCUCUUCAAUUUAGUGGCGCACGGGUGAGUAACGCGUGGAUAAUCUGCCUGACGAUCUGGGAUAACAUCUCGAAAGGGGUGCUAAUACCGGAUAAGCCCACGGGAACUUCGGUUUUUGCGGGAAAAGGGGGGGACCUUUUGGCCUUCUGUCGUCAGAUGAGUCCGCGUACCAUUAGCUAGUUGGUAGGGUAAAGGCCUACCAAGGCUACGAUGGUUAGCUGGUUUGAGAGAAUGAUCAGCCACACUGGAACUGAGACACGGUCCAGACUCCUACGGGAGGCAGCAGUGGGGAAUUUUGCGCAAUGGGCGAAAGCCUGACGCAGCAACGCCGCGUGAGUGAUGAAGGCUUUCGGGUCGUAAAGCUCUGUCAGAGGGAAAGAAGUGUAUUGUGGCUAAUAUCCGCGAUACUUGACGGUACCCUCAAAGGAAGCACCGGCUAACUCCGUGCCAGCCGCCGCAGUAA
rnacentral:rRNA from 1 species